GACGAACGCUGGCGGCGUGCCUAAUACAUGCAAGUCGAACGCAGGGGGGACGGGUGAGUAACACGUGGGUAACCUCCCAUCAGCGGGGAUAACACUUGGAUACAGGUGCUAAACCGAUACUGCUGGAUGGACCCGCGGGGAAUUCGCUAGUGGGUGAGGUAACGGCUCACCAAGGCCACGAUGCAUAGCCGGUCUGAGAGGGUGAUCGUCCACACUGGAACUGAGACACGGCCCAGACUCCUACGUGAGGCAGCAGUAGGGAAUAUGGCACAAUGGGCGCAAGCCUGAUGCAGCCAUGCCGCGUGUAUGAAGAAGGCCCUAGGGUUGUAAAGUACUUUCAGUCGGGAGGCGUUACCGACAGAAGAAGCACCGGCUAACUCCGUGCCAGCAGCCGCGGUAAUAC
rnacentral:rRNA from 1 species